UACGGGGGGGGGCAAGCGUUGUUCGGAAUUACUGGGCGUAAAGGGCUCGUAGGCGGCCAACUAAGUCAUACGUGAAAUCCCUCGGCUUAACCGGGGAACUGCGUCUGAUACUGGAUGGCUUGAGUUCGGGAGAGGGAUGCGGAAUUCCAGGUGUAGCGGUGAAAUGCGUAGAUAUCAGGAGGAACACCAAUGGCGAAGGCAGCUCGCUGGGACGGUACUGACGCUGAGACGCGAAAGCGUGGGGAGCAAACAGG
rnacentral:rRNA from 1 species